CCAACCAUCACCUGGUCCAGCCUCAACCAUUUGUCUGGCUGGAGUAAGGCGCAGACCGGCGCUGGUGGAAGAGAAACCCGCAGAGGGGGAUCAGGUGCAGAGGAGCAAAACCAGGCUAUGGACAAGGGGCAGGAGCAGUCGGGGUUUGCUGGAGAUGGAAGCUCUGUUCGGGUCCAUCCUGCUCCUCCAGCAGCUGCCAGCCGUCUCCUCCUCCCUUAAUUACACGCUUACACCCUUCUGGUGGGAGAAGGGCAAUUAUCAGGGCUGAUGGCUUUUGUGUGAAGAGGCAGAGAUGGAUGGAGCGCCGAUCGGCUUUUCAGAUGUGAGAACUAAUAAAGCUCAAUUACUUUUAA